UACGUAGGGUGCUAGCGUUAUCCGGAAUCACUGGGCGUAAAGCGUGCGUAGGCGGCUUGUUAAGUGAGAUGUUAAAUCGUGUGGCUCAACCAUAUCGAUGCAUUCCAUACUGGCAGGCUAGAGGACGGCAGAGGCAAGUGGAAUUGGUAGUGUAGCAGUGAAAUGCGUAGAUAUUACCAGGAACACCAAUGGCGAAGGCAGCUUGCUGGGCCGACCCUGACGCUGAGGUACGAAAGCGUGGGGAGCGAACAGG
rnacentral:rRNA from 1 species